UUUUGCAAACCCUUUGCUCAGUCCCUUCUAAGAGGAAAUCCAGGAAAACCGUGUUUGCCUUCGCUGUGAUCUAAGGCCUCCUUAAUUGUGCUCCCCUGUGAUUAAAUAACUCUUUGAAGGCAUCACUGGGAGUCAUUUCAUCCACGUGGGAAUGGCGCUUGCCAGGAUCGCGGCCUUUGGCUCUGGGCACACGGAGCUUGCUUUACAAAGGAGGUGCUCAAGAAGAAGCAAAAUGGAAAAAUUGAAGACUCGUUCCUGUGCCAUGGAUGUGUCCAGCCUGGGAGUGUGGGAUGACUCUGUUGUGCUCCUGAUGGGGAUGAUGCUUGGUGCAAAUACCCACAGCUGAGCACUGAGCCAGAUGGAUAAAUAAGAAUUUGGAGGCUUGUG
rnacentral:lncRNA from 1 species